rnacentral:piRNA from 1 species
UAUAACUGUAAGGGCGACUUGAA